AAAGCAAAUCCUAUUUUUUCGUAUAUACUUGGCGAUUGGGCCGAGAGUAUCUACCCGCUUGCCGUAAAUAAGUGGACUACGAGGAAAUUUAAAUU
rnacentral:ncRNA from 1 species